GGGCGUAUGGUCUAGAGGUAUGAUACCUGCUUUGGGUAGUAAUCAGAGUUAUCUGAAUCCAUUGCAGGGGGUCUUCGGUUCGAAUCCGGAUUCGCCCC